rnacentral:rRNA from 1 species
UAGGGAAUCUUCCGCAAUGGACGAAAGUCUGACGGAGCAACGCCGCGUGAGCGAAGAAGGUCUUCGGAUCGUAAAGCUCUGUUGUCAGGGAAGAACAAGUACCGUUCGAACAGGGCGGUACCUUGACGGUACCUGACGAGGAAGCCACGGCUAACUACGUG